rnacentral:rRNA from 1 species
CCUACGGGAGGCAGCAGUGGGGAAUAUUGGACAAUGGGCGAAAGCCUGAUCCAGCAAUGCCGCGUGAGUGAAGAAGGCCUUCGGGUUGUAAAGCUCUUUUACCCGGGAAGAUAAUGACUGUACCGGGAGAAUAAGCUCCGGCUAACUCCGUGCCAGCAGCCGCGGUAAUACGGAGGGAGCUAGCGUUGUUCGGAAUUACUGGGCGUAAAGCGUACGUAGGCGGCUUGGUAAGUCAGAGGUGAAAGCCCACGACUCAAUCGUGGAACUGCCUUUGAGACUGCUUCGCUUGAAGAUGGGAGAGGUUAGUGGAAUUCCGAGUGUAGAGGUGAAAUUCGUAGAUAUUCGGAAGAACACCAGUGGCGAAGGCGGCUAACUGGACCAUUCUUGACGCUGAGGUACGAAAGCGUGGGGAGCAAACAGGAUUAGAUACCCUGGUAGUCCACGCCGUAAACGAUGAUAACUAGCUGUCGGGGCUCUUGGAGCUUCGGUGGCGCAGCUACGACAUUAAGUUAUCCGUCCGUCGGGUAGGUACGGCCGCGAACGGUUAAACGUACGAAGAAGUAGACGGCGUGAGACGUCGCCGAACGGACGACGACGAGGGAGUAGG